rnacentral:rRNA from 1 species
AACCGGAUUAGAUACCCUGGUAGUCCCACGCCGUAAAGAUGUCGACUUGGAGGUUGUUUCCCUUGAGGAGUGGCUUCCGGAGCUAACGCGUUAAGUCGACCGCCUGGGGAUACGGCCGCAAGGUUAAAACUCAAAUGAAUUGACGGGGGCCCGCACAAGCGGUGGAGCAUGUGGUUUUAAUUCGAUGCAACGCGAAGAACCUUACCUACUCUUGACAUCCAGCGAACUUAGCAGAGAUGCUUUGGUGCCUUCGGGAACGCUGAGACAGGUGCUGCAUGGCUGUCGUCAGCUCGUGUUGUGAAAUGUUGGGUUAAGUCCCGCAACGAGCGCAACCCUUAUCCUUUGUUGCCAGCGAUUCGGUCGGGAACUCAAAGGAGACUGCCGGUGAUAAACCGGAGGAAGGUGGGGAUGACGUCAAGUCAUCAUGGCCCUUACGAGUAGGGCUACACACGUGCUACAAUGGCGCAUACAAAGAGAAGCGACCUCGCGAGAGCAAGCGGACCUCACAAAGUGCGUCGUAGUCCGGAUCGGAGUCUGCAACUCGACUCCGUGAAGUCGGAAUC